GACGAACGCUGGCGGCGUGCUUAACACAUGCAAGUCGAACGGGAGUAUUGAAGAAGCUUGCUUUAGAGAUACUUUAGUGGCGGACGGGUGAGUAACGCGUGAGGAGCUGUCCUAUGCAGGGGGACAACAGCUGGAAACGGCUGCUAAUACCCCAUAAGCCGAGAGGUAAAAGGAUCAAUCCGGCAGAGGAGGUACUCGCGUCCUAUCAGCUAGUAGGUGAGGUAACGGCUCACCUAGGCGAAGACGGGUAGCCGGCCUGAGAGGGCGAACGGCCACACUGGAACUGAGAUACGGUCCAGACUCCUACGGGAGGCAGCAGUGGGGAAUAUUGGGCAAUGGGGGAAACCCUGACCCAGCGACGCCGCGUGGGUGAAGAAAUCCCUCGGGAUGUAAAGCCCUGUUGUAUGGGAAGAGCAGAAGACGGUACCAUACGAGGAAGCCACGGCUAACUACGUG
rnacentral:rRNA from 1 species